UACGAAGGGGGCUAGCGUUGUUCGGAAUCACUGGGCGUAAAGCGCACGUAGGCGGAUUUGUUAGUCAGGGGUGAAAUCCCGGGGCUCAACCUCGGAACUGCCUUUGAUACUGCAAAUCUCGAGUCCGGAAGAGGUGAGUGGAAUUCCUAGUGUAGAGGUGAAAUUCGUAGAGAUUAGGAAGAACACCAGUGGCGAAGGCGGCUCACUGGUCCGGUUCUGACGACGAGGUGCGAAAGAGUGGGGAGCAAACAGG
rnacentral:rRNA from 1 species